rnacentral:lncRNA from 1 species
UGUUUUUAACGUUACUUCUAAGUAUAACUUUUUCUUCCACUUCUGCAUUUAGAAUAGAUUUAUCUAUACCUGUCAAUGGUGCUUUGAGCCCAAGAGUUGGAGACCAGCCUGGGCAACAUAGUGAGUCCCUCAUCUCUACAAAAAAAUUGAAAAUCUUGCUGGUUGUGGUGGUUUGUGCCUGUAGUCCCAGCUGCUUGGGAGGCUGAGGUGGGAGGAUUGCUUGAGCCCAGGAGGUCAAGGCUGCUGUGAGCCG